rnacentral:rRNA from 1 species
CUGGCGGCGUGCCUAAUCAUGCAAGUCGAGCGGACAGAUGGGAGCUUGCUCCCUGAUGUUAGCGGCGGACGGGUGAGUAACACGUGGGUAACCUGCCUGUAAGACUGGGAUAACUCCGGGAAACCGGGGCUAAUACCGGAUGCUUGUUUGAACCGCAUGGUUCAAACAUAAAAGGUGGCUUCGGCUACCACUUACAGAUGGACCCGCGGCGCAUUAGCUAGUUGGUGAGGUAAUGGCUCACCAAGGCGACGAUGCGUAGCCGACCUGAGAGGGUGAUCGGCCACACUGGGACUGAGACACGGCCCAGACUCCUACGGGAGGCAGCAGUAGGGAAUCUUCCGCAAUGGACGAAAGUCUGACGGAGCAACGCCGCGUGAGUGAUGAAGGUUUUCGGAUCGUAAAGCUCUGUUGUUAGGGAAGAACAAGUACCGUUCGAAUAGGGCGGUACCUUGACGGUACCUAACCAGAAAGCCACGGCUAACUACGUGCCAGCAGCCGCGGUAAUACGUAGGUGGCAAGCGUUGUCCGGAAUUAUUGGGCGUAAAGGGCUCGCAGGCGGUUUCUUAAGUCUGAUGUGAAAGCCCCCGGCUCAACCGGGGAGGGUCAUUGGAAACUGGGGAACUUGAGUGCAGAAGAGGAGAGUGGAAUUCCACGUGUAGCGGUGAAAUGCGUAGAGAUGUGGAGGAACACCAGUGGCGAAAGCGACUCUCUGGUCUGUAACUGACGCUGAAGAGCGAAAGCGUGGGGAGCGAACAGGAUUAGAUACCCUGGUAGUCCCCGCCGUAAACGAUGAGUGCUAAGUGUUAGGGGGUUUCCCCCCCUUAUUGCUGCAGCUA